rnacentral:rRNA from 1 species
AGUGAACGCUGGCGGUAGGCCUAACACAUGCAAGUCGAACGGCAGCACAGUAAGAGCUUGCUCUUACGGGUGGCGAGUGGCGGACGGGUGAGGAAUACAUCGGAAUCUACUUUUUCGUGGGGGAUAACGUAGGGAAACUUACGCUAAUACCGCAUACGACCUACGGGUGAAAGCAGGGGAUCUUCGGACCUUGCGCGAUUGAAUGAGCCGAUGUCGGAUUAGCUAGUUGGCGGGGUAAAGGCCCACCAAGGCGACGAUCCGUAGCUGGUCUGAGAGGAUGAUCAGCCACACUGGAACUGAGACACGGUCCAAACUCCUACAGGAGGCAGCAGUGGGGAAUAUUGGACAAUGGGCGCAAGCCUGAUCCAGCCAUACCGCGUGGGUGAAGAAGGCCUUCGGGUUGUAAAGCCCUUUUGUUGGGAAAGAAAAGCAGCAGGUUAAUACCCCGCUGUUCUGACGGUACCCAAAGAAUAAGCACCGGCUAACUUCGUG